GCCACGCCCGCUCAAGAAACUACAAAGGAAUUGACGGGGGCCCGCACAAGCGGAGGAACAUGUGGUUUAAUUCGAUGAUACGCGAGGAACCUUACCUGGGCUAGAACGCAUUCGGAAUCAGGCCGAAAGGCCUGCGCCAGCGAUGGCCGCUUGCGAGGUGCUGCAUGGUUGUCGUCAGCUCGUGCCGUGAGGUGUCGGGUUAAGUCCCAUAACGAGCGCAACCCCUACUGCUAGUUGCCAGCGGGUCAUGCCGGGGACUCUAGCGGAACUGCCAGCGUAAGCUGCGAGGAAGGUGGGGAUGACGUCAAAUCAGCACGGCCCUUACGUCCAGGGCUACACACGUGUUACAAUGGCCGGUACAGAGGGCAGCCACCCCGCGAGGGGGCGCGAAUCCCGAAAGCCGGUCCCAGUUCGGAUCGGAGUCUGCAACCCGACUCCGUGAAGCUGGAUUCGCUAGUAAUCGCGCAUCAGCCACGGCGCGGUGAAUACGUUCCCGGGCCUU
rnacentral:rRNA from 1 species